CAGGAAGUUCACGGAGUGCACGAUAGAUGGCGCCACCUGGAGCGGCACAUUUUGAACAGGUGCGCCUGCAAGGGAAGCUGGAGGACAAGGCUCGCUGGAAUCAACAAGCCUGUUGGGCCCGGAAACGUGCUGAGUUUCACCUAAGCUACUGCCACACCUAAGAAGUAAAGCAAGCUCGCAUGGAACGUCCUCGCGUUCCAAUGGAGGAACCGAGGUCUGCACACCUUCCAGACCGGCCCCAAGAAGAAAAAAUAACGCACAGCUCUCUAGCAGCGAAGCGAUGCG